UACAGAGGGGGCAAGCGUUGUUCGGAAUUACUGGGCGUAAAGGGCGCGUAGGCGGCCUUCUAAGUCGAACGUGAAAUCCCCGGGCUCAACCCGGGAACUGCGUCCGAUACUGGAAGGCUUGAAUCCGGGAGAGGGAUGCGGAAUUCCAGGUGUAGCGGUGAAAUGCGUAGAUAUCUGGAGGAACACCGGUGGCGAAGGCGGCAUCCGGGACCGGUAUUGACGCUGAGGCGCGAAAGCCAGGGGAGCAAACGGG
rnacentral:rRNA from 1 species